UGCACAUGGCUGGCUGCGUGCCACUUGAGG
rnacentral:piRNA from 1 species